UUAGAGCAUGAUUUGCAUUACUGAGUGAAGCCUACACAUAAUAUUACACUGGUGAUCCUGGGGAUGAACCUGUACAUCAAUGGUGGGUGGUGGCUGAAGCAUAACUUGAAGACAAAGUACAUUAGGGGGAGAUCUGAGCUAUCACCAAUGUACUGAGGACACUGCAAAGAACCAUCUGCACACCAUGACAAGGAACAAGUAAAGAUGAAAAUUGGGACUGUUAAAAUAUUUCCUUGCCUACCAGUCUCAUUAGAUAAGUAUAUAUGACACGAGAACAGUACAUUUUGGCCACACAACAAAAUAACCUACGGACUGAAAACGCUCAAUUUUACCCAGUGGGCAUUUACGGAUGGCGGAAGAGGUGUUUAUACUUCUUUGUCCUUUUGCUAUUGGUUACCAUGAUUGUUAACUUAGCAAUGACGAUAUGGAUAUUGAAAGUAAUGAAUUUUA